rnacentral:tRNA from 1 species
CGGAAAAUGGCUGAGUUUUAGGCGAAGGAUUGUAGCUCUUUUUACGGGAACCUCCCUUUUCUGA